rnacentral:rRNA from 1 species
ACGAAGUCUUCGGACUGAGUGGCGGACGGGUGAGUAACACGUGAGAACCUGCCUUAAGGUCGGGGAUAACAGUUGGAAACGACUGCUAAUACCGGAUGUGCCUACGGGUGAAAGAUUUAUUGCCUAAAGAUGGGCUCGCGUCUGAUUAGCUAGUUGGAGUGGUAAUGGCACACCAAGGCGACGAUCAGUAGCUGGUCUGAGAGGAUGAUCAGCCACACUGGGACUGAGACACGGCCCAGACUCCUACGGGAGGCAGCAGUGGGGAAUUUUCCGCAAUGGGCGAAAGCCUGACGGAGCAAGACCGCGUGAGGGAGGAAGGCUCUUGGGUUGUAAACCUCUUUUGUCAGGGAAGAACACAAUGACGGUACCUGACGAAUCAGCAUCGGCUAACUCCGUGCCAGCAGCCGCGGUAAUACGGAGGAUGCAAGCGUUAUCCGGAAUUAUUGGGCGUAAAGCGUCCGCAGGUGGUUGUACAAGUCUGCUGUCAAAGCGCGGAGCUUAACUCCGUAAAGGCGGUGGAAACUGUGCGACUAGAGUUCGGUAGGGGUCGCGGGAAUUCCCAGUGUAGCGGUGAAAUGCGUAGAUAUUGGGAAGAACACCGGUGGCGAAAGCGCACGACUGGACCGAGACUGACACUCAUGGACGAAAGCUAGGGGAGCGAAAGGGAUUAGAUACCCCUGUAGUCCUAGCCGUA